rnacentral:lncRNA from 1 species
GGUCUUCGAUGAAGCCGAUAUUUCCAUGAAUCAUUGAAGUUGCAGAACCGACCACAUAAGGUAUGUAGCAACUAGCAUGUUAUUUACCCUUUAAAAUGAUUUAUGUUUCUAAUCAUGACAGUAUUUUUUCAAUGGAAUUUGAAUUAUGCCCCUUUGUUUUUUCCCAAAAAGAAAAUUUACUUCUUGCCCAGUCUGUAUUUGCAAUGUCAACAUGAUAGAGAACAAUAGAAAGUUCAAGUUAUAUAGAGUAUAGAAAAAACACUUACACUCCCAUGUAUAAACGGGAUCAAAUUUUUAUCCAUAAAACUGGAUGUCUCAGAAUCAAAACUUUUAACCCUUUCUGAAGUCCCGGACUUAGCCUUCCAAGAAAAGCUUGAAAAUCUGCGAAGAAUGUUUCAGAACUUAUAGUUACAAGAAAUGACAUGAUAUGCUAGAAAAGACCAAUCGGAAAGCAAUGUCAAGAUUUCCCAUACUUCUUAAUAUAUCCUGCAACUAGCUUUUCAAGUUUGGCCCUUGACGCAUAAAGAUAUGACUUAAUUGAUUUCCCCAUUCUAGGAAUUUGGUGCUGUUGACGUAAGCUAAGAACUUUGUCAACUGCCUUCUCAACUAUGAUUUUGUGAGCGUCCUUGCUUAAAAGGCGGUCACCCCAAGUUGGUUGUACUAAAUCCUUAACAUAUUCCACAAGAACAGCUCUAAAAUUUCUCAUUUGUUUUGAUUCCUUCAGCAGAUAUCCACAUAUUUGCACAAAACAUGCACUCAUCAUCUUUAUGUUGUCUUGUACAAAUGCACACAUUUUGCACAGAAUGUGCACACACUUCACCUCUACUGUGUCAUAGAGAGAACCCUAGUAGUGAGGCUGAACCUCAAUGAAAGAGUUCACUUUGGUGAAGAGUUAAGGAAAAUUCAGUUUUCUAAAUAAAGGACUGAUGGUUGUACUUUCUGGACCAUGUGUUCUUACUGUUAUUAACGAGAACAAUAUUGUUUUCGAAUAGUGUUGUUUGAGGUGUUAGAAUGUGAAGUGUAGAAAAGGGUUCCACUUGGUGGCUAUUGUGGUCCACCCACUAUGGGGUCUUUGCUAGGGCUGGAUAUGGUAUGGUUCGGUUCGGUUCCCUUAAGAACCAAAUCGGACCCAAAAUUUUCGGGUACUUAAUAAUUGGAACCGUCAGGUCUAAAUUUAAUUAUGGAACCGUUCGGGUUCAGUUCCGUUCCGUUCCGUUCCGUUCCGUUCCAUACCAUAAUUACAUUUUUUAACAUUUACAACACCACAUAAAUACAACUAAUAAUAUGUUGAAUCAUAACUUUUACAAAUUAACAAAGUCCCAUUAAAAACAUAUAAAUAACAAGUUAUCCAAUAACAUUAAUUUACCAAUGUAUACAUAUACCAAAAAGUAGAUACUAGUAUUAAAAUAUCGGCAAUCCAUAUCAAUAAUUCCCUUGCUUCAGCCUUCAAGCCUUCAAAAUCAAGUCUACAUAAAACAAUUAAAUAUGAAUUAAAAGUCAUAGAAAUAAAAUAUUUUUAAAUAUUGCUAAUACUUAUCAGCUAUUUGAUUAAUUAUCAAUUUCUUGACUUGCCAUACGAAGAAACUCUACGGAAAAAAUUGAAAAAACACAAUUAACCAACAUAAAUGAGCUAAAAAUUGUUCAACUAAUAAGAUUUAAUAAGAAAAAUAAAACAUAUAUUUUAAUACCUGUCUUAAUGCUCUCAUAGAACUCUGUCUCUUCAAUGCAAAUUCUAUCUUCGAAAACUCUCAAAAGUCUAGAUUCUUUUAUUAGCCAGUUUUGUGUACAAAUCAAGGCCUCAACUGUUUUAAGAGUUAAAGAACUCCUAAAUGGGUUAAGAAUGCGCCCUCCAGUAUGCUGACUCAGAAGUCACCGUAGAUACAGAAAUGGCAAGAACAUCCCUUGCAACUUUAGAUAAAAAUUCAAAGCUUGAACUGUUGAUCUUCCACUUUUUUAAAAUGUUAAAGUUUUCAUCAAUAGCAUUUUCAGUAGGUUCCAUUAGAUAUCGUUGUACCUCAUCUUUUCCAGAAAAAUCCAUUUUGCUAGUUUUCAUUUUCUUGUACCCAAAAUUUACAAUCAUCCCAAUCAUCAUCAUCAUCUGAACCCUCCAACAAAGUGACUCUAUCAUUAUAUUCAUUGCCACCACUUCCACUUCCACUAGCUCCAUUCUUUGAACGAUGACAUCCCUUGUACUGGUUAUACAAAGCAUACAAUAAUUUCAUGACCUCAGUUUUUGUGUCUUCAACCUUAACAGAGUCAUACAAGAUACCAAUACAAUGUACAACAAACUCCAACUUAUACCUAGGAUCAAGCACAAUUGCUACAAUCAAAAUUUUGUUCAUUUUAUCAACAUUAUCCCAAUACUUGUCAAACUUAAUCUUCAUGCUGUUUGCUAUGCUACUUAGCAAAUAAUCUUGUUUGUCACCCAUUUUUUUCAAAAUUUGCUCAAUUUUACACACUUCUUGGAAGUAAAUAUUGGAAGUAACAUUCAAUGAAGCACUAAACUUCAAUGUGACAUCAUAAAAGGUUUUUAGAAACUUAGCAAAUUUUCUUGCUUUCUCCCAAUCAUAACUUGUAGGUGGCCCCUCUUUUUCUUUUCCACCUUCAUUCUCGUCAAAAUAUUUAUAAUAAAAUCCAUCAUCUUCCUCCAUUCUAAAAAAAGUUUUUUCAAAACUUAAUGCACUAUCCAACAUUAAGAAUGUUGAAUUCCAUCUUGUAGAAACAUCUAAAACAGGAAGUUUUUUGUAUGCAAUCUUUUCCCUUUCAAUACAACAAUUAAAUUUCAUCAAUCGAGAAGGAGAUGAUCGAAAAUAUUUGACCGCAUUGCGAAUACUUUAUAUAGGUGGAUUAAACUCUUUCAAUCCUUCUUUAACAAUCAAAUUGACUGUGUGCUGAGCAACGUACAUGCAAAUAAGAGCCACCUAAAAUCAUAGCAUCAUCAGGUUUCCAAUUCUUUUGACUUGUUUUUCACAUAAAUGAUCGCUGCAUUAUUUGUGCUUGCAUUGUCUACAGUAAUUGUACCCACACGCUCUAUUCCCCAAUCAAACAAACAAUUUUCAAUAAGCUUCCUAAUUGUCUCCCCUUUGUGAUUUAGAACAACAGAAGAAGUCAAUAUCCUCUUAUGCAAUUUCCAACUUCUAUCAAUAAAAUGUGUCGUGACUACCAUAUAAUUGAUGUUUUGAAUUGAUGUCCAACAAUUAGUGGUUAAAGAAAUCCUUUUUCUAUCAUUAAUAAAUUUAAUCCUCAAUGAUUCCUUUGUUUCAUGGUAGAGAUGUAGCAAUCGUUCUUUGACAAGGAACCUCAAAUCUAGGACAAAGUUGAUGAACAAAUUCCUUAAAACCCACACAUUCCACAAAGAAAAAGGCCAAUUCAUCAAUAAUAAUCAUCUUAACCAAUGUUUUUCUACAGUUUUUUUUUAUUAAACACCAUUGCUGUAAUACCACCAUCAUUGUUUUCUCGAGUGAAUAUUGCUUGGUUGUCAUCAACCGUAGUGCUCUUAUAUGCAUAACAAAUUUUUAAAUGCUUCCAUAUGCUAGAAGUUCCUCUAUUAGUAUCAGCCUUAAAUGUUCUCCCACAAUAAUUACAUUUUGCUCUUUCUCCAUCAAGUAUUCUAGUGAAAUGAUUCCAUAUUUCCGACCUCUCAUUAAGCUGUUUUUUGUCUCCCAUUUGAGUACCCAAAACUGGUAGGAAAAUAUAAAGAAUAACCUAAUCUCAGGUUAUAAAAUACAAAGACUAACACACUUGCAUUUAUCUUACACAAAACACCACCAAAACACACUUGCAUUUAUCAAUAUAUUCGGAUUUGCAGGAAUAAUGAUCAAUUCAGAUUUGCAGUAACAACAGGAAAGAAAAUACAGCAAAUGGCAGAAACAUAAAAUCAGGAAAGAACUGAGAUUAAUGGACACAAGAACUUCAUGGUUUUGGGACAAAAUUUCAUCAACCAUUGCAGGGAUUUAACCCCAGUCAAUUUGCCAUUAAAAGAGGAAAUUACACUUGCAUUUGUCUUACACGAAACACCACCAAAACACACUUGCAUUUAUCAAUAUAUUCGGAUUUGCAGGAAUAAUGAUCAAUUCAAAUUUGCAGUGACAACAGGAAAGAAAAUAUAGCAAAUGACAGAAACAUAAAACCAGGAAAGACUGAGAUUAAGGGACACAAGAACUUCAUGUUUUUGAGACAAAAUUUCAUCAAUCAUUGUAGGGAUUUGACCACAGUCAAUCUGCCAUUAAAAGAGGAAAUUACACAGCAUUUGUCUUACACGAAACACCACCAAAACACACUUGCAUUUAUCAAUAUAUUUGAUUUUUCCCUAGUCCUUAGAGUCCUUCAUAUAGGUAAGACUAGAGAUGCUAUCACAAUAUACAACAAUAAUAUUUAAAGUUUGUGAGACAAUGCCAAGCUCUUGUAGGAACAUUUUCAACCAAAUAAAAUUUUCGAUUGUGACAAAUCAAGCAAUGAGUAUAGCAUAUCAGUGUGGAAGAAAGCAUAAUUGGGUGUCAAUUUGAGGUUGCUUCCCAGUCAACAUCAUUAAAAUCUAUUGCAAAUUUGAUAUUUGAUAGCAAAGCAAGUAAUCAACUCUCUCUAAGGUAUCAAAGUAUUACUUUGGUAUUUAACAGGAAUCUACUAACCCCACUGCAUAACAUUUAUCAGGUAGAUGUACACUUAUCGGCGCCGACAAAUGAUACUAAGAAGAGAAUUGACAUCGGGAAAAAAUUGAGGGCUUACUAUCGAAAGGUCUAUGGUUGGAGGUCUCGACUUUGAUGGGCUUUCGCCUUUCGGAGUUCACCGCUUCGAUGGCGACACUGGGGGCUGAACGGAAAGUUGGUCUUUGGAGUUUGGACGGCCGAACGGAGCGUUGGGGUUAAUGUUAAUAGGGUUGGUGUUUUUAGUGUACUAUGUAGUUUAUUUAGGGCUGGAUAAUGGAUACUUGGAUUUAGUGGGUUAGGCAUUAGAGAUUUAGAUUUGGGCUAAAAAUGGAAGAAUAAAAUGGGCUUGAAUGCUUGAUGUUGAGCCAAAAAAAAAAAAUUUAAAUGAAACAAAUAAUUGGGCCAAAAAAUUAGAUUUAGAAAAGUUUAAAAUAAUCUGAUUUAUUCAAUAUAAAAAAAUAAGAAAAAUUCGGUUCUUAUUCGGUUCUUGGUCUAGAACAAAGAACCGAAUCGUACCCGUCGAUUUUCGAUUCGGAUACGCAUUCGGGUAUUUAAUUUAAAAAGAACCGUUGGGUUCGGGAGUUUUGUCCGGCCCUAAUUUUUGUCUUUGGGGUGUACUAAGAAUAGAAGUUAUGAUGACAGAAUAAAUAGAGAGAAGAUGUGGAUUCCAUUUGGCCCGAACAUGGUUCACGAGAGGGAUGAGGGCAUAUCCAAGUGGGAAUGUAAUGCCAAAAAAAAUGAAGAUGGAGGUAUAUAGAUAUGUCUUCUGACGAUGAAACAGUUUGUGGUGAAGGUUUAAAAAUGAUAAAAAAGUUGAAUUUCCGGAAAAGAUGAACAUUCAAGGGGAAAAUAGUACUAUUGGAGUAAAGGUGGAAAUGCAAAUGCCAAUGGUGAAAGGUGAUAUUUCAAGGUGAAAAGCACAAUGAAAAAUUGGAAAAUAGUAAGGAGGAGAAAAGCACGAGGAGAAAAUCUGUGGCAAAGAGUUGAAGAAGUUCAUGGGGAGAGGCUUAAAAGUUGACAUUAAGGAGGCACUUUUGAUGAUGGGAAAUGUUGAAGAAGAGGAAUUAAAUGAGGAAAGUGAAGGAGAUAAGGAAUUGGAUCCUGGUUUUGGAGCAGAGGUGAUGGAUGCUUUUAAGAUUGGUGCGAUUUUUUACGGAUGGAUAAUAAUAUAUUUGCUGGUUUGCAGUUUGACUGUGAUUCGGGAAUGGAGAGCUUGAAGAUUGUUAAAUAUAUUGGGGGGGGUGGGGGGUGGAAAGUUCUCCUUUUGUUUAUUGGUGUUUGGCUCAUUUCUUCCUCAUAAUCACAGUGCUAAUACUGCAGGAAAAUAUGUUAGAUUGUGACUUCACAUCUAUCCCUCAAAAUUGAUCUGUAAAUAUCUUGUUUUAAAGUUAGAAAUUUGAAUAUCAUAAUUUGUACUUUAAAAAAAAAAAAAAAAAAGGGUAGUAGUGAGGAUAAGCUCUAUUAGUUUGUCAGUUUGUCAGUGUAUUAGAAAGUAGAGAAGCAGGUGAAACAAUUAGGACACCUUGUGUAAAUAAACAAAGGAAUGACUCUGGCUCUUCACCCAUUGAUAAAAAAAAUUUAUCAGUCCGUUGGGACUCAAGGAGCAUUUGAUUCUUUCUCAAGCACAGAGCUUGCUGGUUGAUAAGGUCAAGAAACUCUUGUAAUCUGAAGCUGAAUUUCAGAGCUCUAAGGCAGAGGCUUCAGAUGGAAAUCCUCCAUUUCUAGCCGAUAAAUAUAAUCUAGUUUCUGGAAAUUUACCAGUUGCUCCAGUUCACUGUCUGCAAGGAAUAUGGCAACUUCCAGCAAGCUCGACAUGUACCAAUUCACCCGAUGAUUUCGGCUACCACCACCAGUUCACAUUACAAUCCUUCUCUGCUUUGGCCAAGUUAUCAAUCAACUGCCACUGCUGCCCAACACAUUUCUAGUCAUCAGAAGACUCCAGAAACAGCUACCAAUUCUCAGUAUGUUCCAAGACUCCAUAAACAGCCACCAAUUCUCAGUAUGUUCCUACUCCACUCGUGCCAAGGGAUUUAACAACUGUUACUAUUGACUAGUUUAUUACUACUCAUCAUAAAACUCCAGAAACCACUACCGGUUGUCAGUAGAUACCCACUAGACCCUGGCCGAGGAAUCCAACGACUUUACCACCAAGUGCUUUACACAUUAGUGCUAUGUAUCUUUCUGUCAACCCAAUUUCCACUCAAAGAUAAAGCAUAUAGCUGUUGGUUACCACUUUGUUAGUGAUCAUGUGACAAAUGGAAUCUUCAAUGUCUAGUACAUAUCUAUGAAGAACCAGCUUGCAGAUUCUCUUACUAAACCACUAUCAAGACAUCAAUUUGCUACAUUAUGGGCCAAGAUUAUUAUCUCCAAUGGGAGUACCAUCUUGCAGGGGCCUAAUGUACAAGCAUAUUCUUUAUUGCUGGUGCCGUGAUCAUGGCAAGUCAGCUGGCACUCUCAGUAUUGAAUUCAUUCCUAUGUUGUGAUCAUGGAAAGUAAAUUAGUGCAAGCAUGACUUGAGGACUGCAGUCAUGCAAUUGUAAACCUGAUACUUAGAUUAGUCACUUUCUGUAAAUAGAUUCCAUUAAGACUGCUGUACAUAACAGAGAUACAUAUUAAUGGAAACCUUAACUUUCCAGACAAAAAUUUCUUUUCUACAUCCGUCCUUUCUCUGACGGAAAGUGUUUAAAUAAAGAGGAAACAUGCUCCUGAUCAUAUAUUUGUUUGCAGAAACAUAAUUAAUGUACUUGUUCGCAAAAUUUGCAGAAACAUAAUUAAUCAUAUGCUAUUUGAAAAAAAAAAAACAGUGACAAAAUAAGUUGCUGAUAUCCAUUACCAAAUUCGUUAGUGGUGCAUUAAUAGAGAAUUAAAGUAAAAAAAUAGCCUCAGAUUUUGUGAAGGAAUAAUUCUUCUUCCACACAUUGUGAGCCGAGCUGUCUUGUACAUCCAUGCGCACAUUUUGCACAGAACAUGCACUGACUUCAUCUCCCUAGCUGUCUUGUACACACAUGCACACAUUUUGCACAAAACACACACAUAAGGUCAAAUUACAAAUUAAUUCAUACCUAGUCUUAUGUAGUAUGCAAAUAAGGUCAUAUAUGUCUUGAGAUAUAUCUAUAUAAAGCUUGCCCCAGGCCCAACUAAUUUUUUAAGGUAAAAAAAUUUUUAAAAAUAAAAAAAGAACAAAUUCUACUGGUAUAGAAAAUUUGUUUUGUCUCCCAGGCUCCAUCCCUGCUUAAAGACUUUUAUUUUCUUAUCUUGUGAACUAUACAAGGUAAGUAGUAGGUUUUAAUAUUUUUCCAGAUUAGCACUCGCAUUUUGAAUUUCAGUGGCUGCCAUAUAUUAUUUUGUAUUCAGUACAGAUACUUACAAGAGUGAACAUACCAUGCCACUCUAGAAACAUGAGACAACAUUAUUAAUGGAUAACGCAAUUGCUUCCCUUUCGUAACCAGGCUAAUAUCCAUUUAUCCCUGGAAAUUAUUUAAGAAAACCCUAAUUCAUGUGGAUAAUGGUUUUAUCUUUUGGCUUGAUUUGUUAAACUCAGAUCAGUUACUCAUAACAGUCUCUUGUAAAAGUAUUCACACAGAAAAUUCCAUCUCAGUAUUUUUUAGAUAAUUGUAGAAGCAUAUUUUCUUAAGAGAGAUAAUACUUCUAUGAUUCAUAUUAAUGAAUAUGAUUUAUGAUUCUAAUCGUUUGUUGUUU